rnacentral:snRNA from 1 species
UGGAUCCGUAACUUCGGGAA